UAUAUUUUUAGUUUAAUUAAAUGAACUCCGAAAGUAGGAAUAGCUAAGCUUCUAGUUCGACAUAACUUGCAGAGGCAUAAAACACUAAAGAACUCGAAAAAGUCGGUCAAUAAGCUUGCGUUUCCUUACAGAUCGGACGGCUUUGAUUCUCGGAGUUUUCGCUUAUGCUUAC
ensembl:ncRNA sisRNA:CR46361 stable intronic sequence RNA CR46361